GCAAGAUAACUAAGUCAAUAGUAUGACUACUGAAACCAAGGACCACCUUUUCUCUCGAUGAAGAAUCAAGAUUCAUUGAAUUCGUAGGUAGUGACUGGUCCAUGUCAUUCCCUUGUAUUUAUAGAAAACAUGUUGCACUCGUCUCUAUUAUUUUCAAUUUCUUAUUCUGAAAUUAAACACAACUUCUGAGUAGACUAGUCUCCGAAAGAAGAGCACCAAAAUAUAAACGAUCGCAUGAAGAAUAUAAAGCGCAGCCUGCUUCACGGUGCCUCUCUUGAUUGCAUUGGUCUCUUUGCUUUUCGCCUUCGCCUUCUCUUUGGCGAUGAUGAAUGAGAGGCAUUCAUGAAAGGGAUUUGCAUGCUUGUAGCUGCAAAUAUCACGCCUGGGAUAGGGGGAAGAUCCCAAGGAAAGCUAACAGACGCGGCAAUUCUAGGACCCAUCUUCUAGCUGGAAAGAGUGGAGAAAAGGGGCCUGAUCUAAUAAGACAAACACGGUGUUUGAUUGGAUUGUUUGACUAGAUUUACAAAUAUGUCACAAAAUUCAGCAGGGUAACCUUCUGGACCUCCUCCAUGCAUGUGCUUCAUCUCAUCAUAUCUAACUAUUUGUCAGAAGUCACGGCCAUUCUUGCAUAUUUUUAUUACACUCGAUGUCUGAAAAUGGUGCUGUUUAUCUUUUAAUCUUGUAAUUAAAUCCAGGUUGCAUUCU